rnacentral:rRNA from 1 species
CAGUAGCCGCGGGAAUACGUAGGGUGCAAGCGUUAAUCGGAAUUACUGGGCGUAAAGCGUGCGCAGGCGGUUAUAUAAGACAGAUGUGAAAUCCCCGGGCUCAACCUGGGAACUGCAUUUGUGACUGUAUAGCUAGAGUACGGCAGAGGGGGAUGGAAUUCCGCGUGUAGCAGUGAAAUGCGUAGAUAUGCGGAGGAACACCGAUGGCGAAGGCAAUCCCCUGGGCCUGUACUGACGCUCAUGCACGAAAGCGUGGGGAGCAAACAGGAUUAGAUACCCCCAGUAGUCCCUGUCUCUUAUA